AGCGUUAUCCGGAGUGACUGGGCGUAAAGAGUUGCGUAGGUGGUCAGUAAAGCGAAUGGUGAAAUCUGGGGGCUCAACCUCACAGACUAUUAUUCGAACUCACUGACUCGAGAACAGCAGAGGUAACUGGAAUUUCUGAAGUAGGGGUAAUAUCCGUAGAUAUCAGAAGGAACACCAAUGGCGUAGGCAGGUUACUGGGCUGUUUCUGACACUGAGGCACGAAAGCGUGGGGAGCGAACCGGAUUAGAUACCCGGGUAGUCCACGCCGUAAACGAUGGAUACUAGCUGUUGGAGGUAUCGACCCCUUCAGUAGCGAAGCUAACGCGUUAAGUAUCCCGCCUGUGGAGUACGGUCGCAAGACUAAAACAUAAAGGAAUUGACGGGGACCCGCACAAGCGGUGGAUUAUGUUCUUUAAUUCGAUGCUAACCGAAGAACCUUACCAGGGUUUGACAUCCCGAGAAUUACUCCGAAAGGAGUGAGUGCUUUAUUGAACUCGGUGACAGAUGUUGCAUGGCCGUCGUCAGCUCGUGUCGUGAGAUGUUUGGUUAAGUCCAUCAACGAGCGCAACCCUUGUGAAUAGUUGUAUUUUUCUAUUCAGACUGCCCCGGCAACGGGGAGGAAGGAGGGGAUGAUGUCAGGUCAGUAUUACUCUUACAUCCUGGGCUAGAAACGUAAUACAAUGGCUGGUACAAUGCGUCGCGAAGCCGCGAGGUGAAGCAAAUCGCACCAAAGCCAGUCCCAGUUCGGAUUGGAGGCUGAAACUCGCCUCCAUGAAGUCGGAAUCGCUAGUAAUCGCAGGUCAGCAAACUGCGGUGAAUACGUUCCCGGGUCUUGUACACACCGCCCGUCAAACCAUGAAAGUGACCAACACCCGAAGUCCGAUUCGUCGGCCUAAGGUGGGGGGCAUGAUUGGGGUUAAGUCGUAACAAGGUAUCCGUAGCGGAAGCUGCGGAUG
rnacentral:rRNA from 1 species